UAAGAUGCGGUGCCUCGGUAGAGGACGAUAAACCUAAAAAACUAUGUAUAAAAAGGGAGCCAGAUUUAGAUGCGGUGUGCAAGCCUCCACUCCCUUUCAGGAGGAAGCCUGAAGCGUCUAUGAGGCGCCCACCUUUAACAAGUGUUUUUGGAUUCUCCUAAUCGGGGUACCGCAGCAUCC
rnacentral:other from 4 species